rnacentral:rRNA from 1 species
AGAGUUUGAUUAUGGCUCAGGAUGAACGCUAGCGAAAUGCCUAACACAUGCAAGUCGAACGGACCUUGCGUCGUAGUAAUACGUAGUAAGGUUAGUGGCAAACGAGCGAGUAACGCGUGCUUAACCUACCCCGAAGUUGGGUAUAACUACAGAGAUGUAGCUAAUUCCCAAUAUGCUCACGAUGGUGAAAUCCCAAUGGGAGGAAAGAUUUAUCGCUUCGGGAGGGGGGUGCGUCCUAUCAGAUAGUUGGUGAGGUAACGGCUUACCAAGUCUAUGACGGGUAACCGGUCUGAGAUGAUGUCCGGUCGCGAUGGGACUGAGAUACGGCCCAUACUCCUACGGGAGGCAGCAGGUGGGGAAUCUUGCACAAUGGACGAAAGUCUGAUGCAGCAAUUUUGCGUGAAGGAUGAAGCAUUACGGUGUGUAAACUUCUUUUUUGGCAGAAGACGAAUGACGGUAUGUCAAGAAUAAGAGACGGCUAACUACGUGCCAGCAGCAGC